rnacentral:lncRNA from 1 species
ACAUCUUUGUUUAGUCAUUGACUUUCCUUUUAGAGUAUUGAUAAUAUUUGUUUUAUCACACAGGCCUCCUCCAGUGAUGCUGCCUCAGUCUCCCCCGAGACACACUAUACGCCGCUGCCUUCAGGAUCCAGGGAUCUCACCAAUCACAGAGGUGUUCUGGGAAAAUGUCGCUACAUUUACUAUGGGAAACAUUCCGAAGGCAACAGAUUCAUUCGAGAUGACCAGCUAUAAAACAGCACCGUUCCAUGCCUCUUUACACAAUCCACAAAACAUGCACACAGAAAGCACAAAUUGCAUCUACGUUUUCUGCAUGUAACUAAAGUCCUCCAGUACCUUCUGCUGACUUUGCCAAGCCUGUCAAGAUCAUCUUUCUGUCUUAGUCUGAGUAGUCACAUAGAGAUUGACAUGAUUGCCUUUAAGCAGGUCCCAUCCACCAGUGUGACAGACAGCUGCAGCCAAGCACCAGGCCUGACAGGAUGAACACCAUGAUGGAUUGCCUGGUCCAAUUGCUGCACACAGAAGAGCAAAGGUCACACCUGGGGCUUCAGUGAGCAUGCUCAGUUGGUUUUAGCAAGAGCAAUGCUUUUAUCUAAAGUUUGCCUGUUGAGUGAGAGAGGCUUGCAGUAUCAAUAUGCUCAUAAAAUCAGUGGCUAUAACUGAAGAUUUAAAAAGCCUUUAUCUGUCCUUAUUCUCCCCCCUGCCCCCCAAGAAUUAGGUACUUAAGUUUAACACACACAAACCUUUUCAGACAGUGUUUAUCACAAGUCAAAGUUCAUAGUUUGCUUUGCUCUUUCUUUAAAGGGAGGGAGAUAUGUUGUCAGCAAUGUUAUAUGAAAACACUUUAGAAAUGCACAGCACUGAAUCUGCAUCUUUUAUUUAAGAAAAAGGGUCUAAGCAAUUUUGCAGAUACAACUGAACCAAAGCAUCCUAUUUUUUACAUCUUAACAUUCAGAAGGGGGGGCAUUUUUAACAUUGCAGAAUAUGUGACACAGAGGGCACACUGUUUAACUGUAUAUGCUUGAUUAUGGUAGUGACAGUUAUAUUUAUGCUUGGUUUAUUUGACAAGAUUUUUUUAACAUGUGCAGAGAUUAGAUUUAGAAUUAAACGUUUUGAAAGGGGAAAGCAAAAAACACAACAAAACCCUACUGAGCUUAGAUGAUAUUUAGAGGAAAAUAAGGUACGAUUGUUUGUUUCAUAUCACUAACAUUAUUGUUGGAAUCUACAUAAUUUACAUCUCGCUAAUAUGUCUUAGUCGCCUCCCUAUUGUGGUCAUUAUUAAUCCCCUAUUAAUAUACAUGCAAAUUAUGUAAACAUGGCUUCUUGUCAACUUUUCAGUAACAAAAUGAAAAUCCUUAGCAUUUUACAAGUCUUUUUAGCAAAUGGGGUGAACAUGUUUGGAGCAAUGACUCAUUGCCUUUGUUACUGUGCUUCACGUUCCCAAGAGUUAAUACAUUGAUGUCAUGGGAUUGACGAAGAGUAUGCAGAGCCUUUCACCUCUAGGCUGCAAUUUCAAAACCAGCCCAUGAUGGUAUUGUCUGAGAGCUGUUACCAUCUGUUGGCUAUUCAUUGGCUUGUAUGAAAUGAGUUGUUGGUCUGUGUUCACUUUCCUAGCAGAUAGGUGACUCUCACAAAACUAAAUACUUACAAGUGGCCCAUAUUUUGGCAAUCUUCAGCAGAUGCUGUCUAUGGAAUGGGACUGGAGACAGAUGUCUUUCUCUGCCAGAGAUAGUCCCUCCAGAAAAUGACGAGGCACCUUGGCAGAGGAAUGAAGGGAAGCUGGCACUGCUACUGUCCAUGUUAUUUGCCUCUCUUGAUGAACGGAAGACUUGACUCACCAUGGCUGUCAAUAUGAAACUGCUAACCAGUGUUACAUUACUUUUACAUUUGAAAAGAAAUUUAAAAUAUACAGGGCCCAGAUCCUUAGCUGCUUAGCUUGUGGCAUAGCUUCAUUGACUUUAAUGGAGCUACACAGUUUCCAUCAGCUGUGGAUCUGGCCCCAUAUGUUUUAAAUUCAGAUCUGUCUGUGAGUUGGCUGCUGUACAAAUUGCUGGGAAGUGAGUUGUGGCUAUGGUAGCAACUUUGCUGAUGUCUCUGAUUUGGCUAUUACGGAUAGGAAACCAAAUUCUGAUUAAAAGGAUUCUGAGAUGCAGGAGUUUUGGAGAAUCAGGAGGUUUGCUUCUCUUGUGACAUAAAUAAUUAUUAGAUUUCUAACUCAGUUACCAAAAUAACAGCAAGUUGCCAUCCUAGCUCAUUUGUAUCAUAAUAUCUGUUCUAAAUCAUCAACUCAUGUUUUGACCAUAGCAUAUUACAGGCAGCAGGGUGCUAAACAGAGGUGUCUAGAGUAACCUAAUGUCACAUUCAGUCUGGUUGCAUAUAUGUUCCUGUCUCUAUAAAAGGCUUUAACCCUGCCUCAAACAAUAAAAAACACUUGCAAACUGACCA